UGGGGUGUAGCUCAGUGGUAGAGCAUUUGACUGCAGAUCAAGCUGACCUUAGUUCAAAUCUAAGUACCCCCU